UUGCACAUAGGCUGCCAGGCCAAAAAACACAGCUAUUAAACCAUUGCAUACUCUCCACAGCCUCUGCUGGCUUUUAUCACAAGAUACCGAGACUGCAGGGGACAAGUUCUGCUUCCUGUCAGAUCCCUGUUUAUCUCUGGUCUCCAUUGCUUUGAUAAUCAGUCUGAGGAAAGUGUCUCCUGCUGGGUAGAAAGAGUUAUUCAUUAAUCCAGCCUGCUCCCAGGCAUUGGUUCUGCAUUUCCUGUUGUAGAAGUGAAGCUCAGCCCAG